rnacentral:rRNA from 1 species
UACGAAGGGGGCUAGCGUUGCUCGGAAUCACUGGGCGUAAAGGGUGCGUAGGCGGGUCUUUAAGUCAGGGGUGAAAUCCUGGAGCUCAACUCCAGAACUGCCUUUGAUACUGAGGAUCUUGAGUUCGGGAGAGGUGAGUGGAACUGCGAGUGUAGAGGUGAAAUUCGUAGAUAUUCGCAAGAACACCAGUGGCGAAGGCGGCUCACUGGCCCGAUACUGACGCUGAGGCGCGAAAGCUAGGGGAGCGAACAGG